rnacentral:lncRNA from 8 species
CACCUGGUGGGGGGUAGAGACAAGCACAAGACAGGUGAAACAGAUCAGGGUGUGACAUUUUAGGAUUGUUAAUUAACAGCUGGCCUGGUACAUUGUUUGCUGCCUCCACCCAUUCAGGAUGCACUGUUUCAAAGACAAAAUAUUUUGAACAAAAACGGACGACUGUAACUAAGGAUGGCGCACAGUGUUUGAUUGCAAAUGCGGAGGGAGUCGAAAAGAGAUCACAGAAUUACAUCUUCAAACUAAGGGUAAACAUGGUAUCCAUGACAGAGAGGGAGAAGCAUUCAUCCAUAUAUAUGGAACUUUGUCCCUGA